rnacentral:rRNA from 1 species
UCCUACGGGAGGCAGCAGUGGGGAAUAUUGGACAAUGGGCGCAGCCUGAUCCAGACAUACCGCGUGGGUGAAGAAGGCCUUCGGGUUGUAAAGCCCUUUUGUCAGGAAAGAAAUCCUGUCGAUUAAUACUCGGCGGGGAUGACGGUACCUGAAGAAUAAGCACCGGCUAACUUCGUGCCAGCAGCCGCGGUAAUACGAAGGGUGCAAGCGUUACUCGGAAUUACUGGGCGUAAAGCGUGUGUAGGUGGUUGUUUAAGUCUGUCGUGAAAGCCCUGGGCUCAACCUGGGAAUUGCGAUGGAUAUUGGGCGACUAGAGUGCGGUAGAGGAUAGUGGAAUUUCCGGUGUAGCAGUGAAAUGCGUAGAGAUCGGAAGGAACAUCUGUGGCGAAGGCGACUAUCUGGGCCAACACUGACACUGAGACACGAAAGCGUGGGGAGCAAACAGGAUUAGAUACCCUGGUAGUCCACGCCCUAAACGAUGCGAACUGGAUGUUGGGUUCAACUUGGAACCCAGUAUCGAAGCUAACGCGUUAAGUUCGCCGCCUGGGGAGUACGGUCGCAAGACUGAAACUCAAAUGAAUUGACGGA